AUUGAACGCUGGCGGCAUGCCUUACACAUGCAAGUCGAACGGUAGCGGGCCUUCGGGUGCCGACGAGUGGCGAACGGGUGAGUAAUGUAUCGGAACGUACCUUUCAGUGGGGGAUAACGUAGCGUAAGUUGCGCUAAUACCGCAUAUUCUGUGAGCAGGAAAGCAGGGGAUCGCAAGACCUUGCGCUGAUUGAGCGGCCGAUAUCAGAUUAGCUAGUUGGUGAGGUAAAGGCUCACCAAGGCGACGAUCUGUAGCGGGUCUGAGAGGAUGAUCCACCACACUGGAACUGAGACACGGUCCAGACUCCUACGGGAGGCAGAAGUGGGGAAUUUUGGACAAUGGGGGCAACCCUGAUCCAGCCAUGCCGCGUGAGUGAAGAAGGCCUUCGGGUUGUAAAGCUCUUUCGGCCGGGAAGAAAUCGUAUCAGCUAAUACCUGGUGCGGAUGACGGUACCGGCAUAAGAAGCACCGGCUAACUACGUGCCAGCCGCCGCCGUAA
rnacentral:rRNA from 1 species